AGAAGGUCCCUCCGGCGGCGGCGGCGGCGGCGGCGACGCGCGCGGUCCUCGUCGCCGGACGGCCGCAUCCUCGGGCGGCCGGGCGGCGGCCUCGGCGGGCGGCGGCCGCUCCUGUCGCGGGCGGCCGCGGCGGGGACAGCGGCAGGAGGCAGCCCUGCGCGCAGCAGCCGCGCGUCCUCGCUGCGCUCCCACCCGGCCGCCGCCUCCGCCUCCUCUUCCUCCUCCUCGCCGCUGCCCGUCUCCUCGUCGUCGCCCUCCUCGUCGCUAUCGCCCAGUCCCUCCUCCCCUCCCUCCUCCUCCUCCUCGCCGCUCGCCCGCGCCGCCGCCUCCCGGCGCUCGGGGUCCCGCUCCUCCUCGCGCGCCAUGGCUCCCACGCUCCGCGCCCGCGCUCGGCCUGGGGCGGCGGCGCGGCGGGGGCGGCGGGGGCGGCCGGGAGGCGGGGGCGGAGGGGGCAGAGGAGGAGGAGCGGGGAAGGACCGACGGUAGGAGGGCCCGCCGCUGGCCAACUCCGCCGGUUGGCAAAGCCACCCCGGACUGGCUCUGGCCUCGCCGGCUGCAGGAGCGCCUCGCGGGGCCGCCCGCCUAUUCCAUGGUCGGCGCGAUGGGGGCCGGGGCCGGGCCGGAGCGAACAGGGAGCACCGAGCGAGCUGGGAGCAUGAGCUAGCGCAGCUCCCGGCAGCCUGCAGCGGCGAGGCUGGUCGGGCCAGGGUUGGCGGGGGGCAGUGCCUGGGACACAGCCCGGCGCUGGCCGGCAUGGCGGGGAGGGGGCGCGCUGGGAGGAGACUGGGCUGGGGAGGGAUCCCUGUGUGCAGUCCUUCAACCCUUCUGUGCCAGGGGAAGAGGGACGGCGCAGGGGGCCCCCUCUCGGGAAGCACACACGCUGCCUCCCAGAGGCCGAUCUUCACCAAGAAGGAUUCGCUGGAAACUUUCGGAAAACCGAGGGGCUCUUCAGCCUCCUCUCUACGUGCUACCUGGAGUCGGGGCGCCGCGAGUGCGCUUGGCUGCCCGCGCCCAGCCUCUGGCCUCGCCUCUUCUCGCGGGCCUCCCGGGUUUCCCUCUGCCCCCUUGCGGGGAUCCCCCUGUGCGCCCGACUCGGGAUCUGGAACAGGCCUCCCCAGAGGCUGUUAGUUCCAUAAGGGUGUCCGGCUCCCCCCUCUGUCUUGGGCUCACACUUCGCUUUCUGUUCGUGCUGGACCAAGUCCAAUACUGUGGCUGAUCGAAGUGGGGACAGCUGGCACGGUCCCUGGAGAGGCGGCCUGAAGAGGCUUCUGGCCUUGUGCAGGUCCCUGCAGAGACUUUGGACCUGAUGUGGUGAAUAAAGUUGGUUAGUCUUUCUCACAGUUCUACCUUUAGGACAAAGAAUAGAAAGCCUCCCGUGACUAUAUUCACUAACUCUCAGCCCAGGCCAGAUCAUCCACCAGCCAGUGAAAGGGACCUCGUCUGUGGCCAAACUAGGUGCAGCUCGGUGCCCUCCUGUGAUAUUUCCAGCUCUCCAGCCUCCUGCUGACCACAGCUCACAGACCUCAUGGAGUAGUUUCCAGGACAAAGCAAGGUUAUGUCUCCACAACACCAAACAUUCCCAGGUGUGGCAGGCAAGCCAUUGAUUUAGAAGAGAGGAGGAGAGAGGAAGAGAAAACCAGAAAAGGCACUUUCUUGGUAAAGAGACAUCAGCUUUCUCACCAUGGCUGUUUCAUAACACAAGGAGACCUGGCCCAAGCUCAGAGGGGAAAGACCCCUGGGUGUUCAUGGAAAACCUUUAAGCACAGUGAGACCAAAUGUUAGUAGAUGGGGGAUAAAAGGGAGAAAUUCAUGGAGUAUGCCUAGAACAGGCCUUGUAUGCAGCAUCCCCUUCUUGCCUAGGACUUGAAGGGCCAGGCUUCCUGUCAUUGCCUCACUCAAAUGUAGCCCAGGAAGACAUUAGACUGAUAGCACUGAUCACCUCCAGACAAAACCCCUGCACCUGCACAGUCACAUAGACUUGGACAAAAGCCCAUCCUUACUAAGGAAGACCUAACAACUAUUUCUUCUCACGCCCAUUCUUGUCCACCGUCUUUAUCAAAAAGCCAGGAAAACUGCUUCUUCAGACACUUUCUGAGCCGGCUGUAUUUUGAAGGACAAAAAAAAAAAAAUUACUCUUUUGAGAGCAUUGUGUCUGCAAGGUGGGCUCACGUUAUUUUUGGUGAUCAGUUUAUGACUGGAGUUCAAAUAGACUGCUUAUUUUAUAAGAGUUUUUAAUUUUGAAUAUUCUUUUUGCUGAACUGUGUGCAUUUGUUUGGUUUUUAACUCACCACAUGAAUAUGACUAUAGAUUUUUUUUUCCUAGUUGACCAUGGUCAGAUUCACAAUUGCCUUUAAAAAAAAUUUGUUGGCUGGGCACGGUGGCUCACGCCUGUAAUCCCAACACUUUAGGAGGCUGAAGCAGGUGGAUCAUCUGAGGUCAGAAGUUCGAGGCCAACCUGGCCAACAUGGUGAAACUCCGUCUCUACUAAAAAUACAAAAAUUAGCCAGGCAGGGUGGCGCAUGCCUGUAAUCCCAGCUACUCAGGAGGCUAAGGCAGGAGACUCUCUUGAACCCGGAAGGUGGAGGUUGCAGUGAGCCGAGAUCACGACACUGCACUCCAGCCUGGGUGGCAGAGCGAGACUCUGUCUCAGAAGAAAAAAAAAAAAAAAAGAAAAUGUGUUGAAGUAUAACAUACAUGAGGCAAAACGCACACAGCUUAAGCAUUAACUCAAUGACUCUGUAUAUACGUAUACAUCCUCACAGGUUCCAGACCAAGACAUGGAACAUUUCCUGCUCUCCCUGAAAGUCUCCCUGUGCCAGCCCCUCACCAGGCAAUAAUUCCCCAGAGAUAGUGCCUCUUCCCAACCCUGUACCCUAGAUCAUUGUUGCCUGUCCUUGAACCUCAGAUAAAGGGAGGCUCCUUUUGCCCAUCUUCGUUUUUGUGAUGUCUGUCCAUUGUGGUGUGCAUAGCUGUGAUUUGUUCUUUUUCACACUGUGAAGGUGUAGGUGGUUUUCACCUGAUGCUUCAGUUCCCUUCCAACUUUAGUAUAAGCCAAGAAUAAUCAAACCACUACAUCUGGAUCAGAGACAAAUGACCUCCCAGAUUGGCUAGUUUUGUAAGGAACUUCAGUUGAAAUUGAAACAGUCAUCAGCUGCUUCUCAAACCAGCUACACUACAUAAGGAGGAGCCCAAGGGAAACUGCAGGACAACAGGUCCACUGGGAAACUUCAGGGGGCCAAGCUGUCAAAGACAAGCACAGAAAAAUUCCUGCAAUGUGCGUUAGACCUUGAGGCAGCUUUUAAUGGCAAAAGUCAGUACAACCCAUUUCCUUUUUCUCUAAAUGAGAGGAAAGUAGAAUAGGUUCCAUCAGGAAAGAGUCACACCCAGGCCAUGACAAACUCAUGGAGGAUCCUGUCAAUCAAAUUCCUUUCUGCUGGGCAGAAAAAGUAUGUGGGAGCUUGUUAGUAAGGUGCAUUCCCAACCUAUCCUGAGGAUGUGGGACUCAGGAAGCCCAACAAUCUGCCCUAUUUACAAGGUCCCAGGUAUCCUUUCAUAUUAAGAUUUGAGACCUGCUGUUUCAGAGAAAGGGACAGCUUGGCAUGUAUUUUUUGGUAAAUCCUGGAGGGCAAGUCUAAAAAGCAAAAAAUAUACCGCCCAGCACCUAUUUGUUGAUAUUUUAAAUUGACUUGUUUGGGGUGUUUGGAAGAAAUAAAGACAGAGUAUGAAAACACAACCUGUAGCUAUGUCUAUAUGUAUUUCAUUUUUCACUUGAGUACUAUGUUUCUUAAAGACUCCUGUAAGAAAUAAUUCAGAACCACAUAAAUAAUAAAGAGAUUAAAAUUUUAAAUCCACAGAGGACAAACAUUAAGUAUUCACAAUUUGAGGAAUUUGUUCAUUCUGUCAGGAUCAUUCAGAAAGAAAACACAUACAUGCCACUAAUUUAAUUUUGCCCUCGUAAACUUGGGCAGACAAGGUGCUGAGUGUGGCAGAGGAGCCUGGGGAGAGCCCUGAGGGCUUAUUUUUGUUAAUAUACAAAUAUUAGGCUUAGGUAUCCUAUAUUUUAAAUCAAGACAAUAGAUCUAAAAAAUGUUUUAGCAUUUUGAAAUUUCAAAACUUCAUCCUGGUAGACCAUGAUAUGCAGUACAUCUUAAGUGGAAAAAAAAAGAAGCUACACUAUGAAUUGUAUAAUCCCAUUUUUGUAAAGUUAAGCAAAAUCAUCUCUCUCUCUCUAUCUCUGAUUACUUUGGGAUGUGGGAUUACAGGAUUUGGGGUUGGGGAUCAGAGAAUGUAGAGGGACUUUCACUUUUUAUUUUAUACUCUUCCAUAGCUUUAAAA
rnacentral:lncRNA from 1 species